rnacentral:rRNA from 1 species
GACGAACGCUGGCGGCGUGCUUAACACAUGCAAGUCGAACAGAAAGGCCUUUUCGGAGGUACUCGAGUGGCGAACGGGUGAGUAACACGUGGGUGAUCUGCCCUGCACUCUGGGAUAAGCCUGGGAAACUGGGUCUAAUACCGGAUAGGACCGCACUUUAGUGUGUGUGGUGGAAAGUUUUUUCGGUGUAGGAUGAGCCCGCGGCCUAUCAGCUUGUUGGUGGGGUAAUGGCCUACCAAGGCGGCGACGGGUAGCCGGACUGAGAGGUUGGUCGGCCACAUUGGGACUGAGAUACGGCACAGACUCCUACGGGAGGCAGCAGUGGGGAAUAUUGCACAAUGGGCGCAAGCCUGAUGCAGCGACGCCGCGUGGGGGAUGACGGCCUUCGGGUUGUAAACUCCUUUCGCCAGGGACGAAGCGUUUUGUGACGGUACCUGGAGAAGAAGCACCGGCUAACUACGUG